AAGGAAGAAGAAGUAAGGGUUUUAUAUACUGUUGAGUCUUUGGUUUUCAAAGAAAUAAAAAAGAAUAUAGAAACACCAAGAAAGACGAAAGAUUUCUGGUGCCGAUGCGCUUAGGGGAGACACCCGUUCCCAUCCCGAACACGAUGGUUAAGACUUAAGCGGCCGAUGGUACUAUGCUGGAGACGGCAUGGGAGAGCAGGUGGGUGCCAGAUUAUUUAUGGGCUUAUAGCUCAGCUGGUUAGAGCGCACGCCUGAUAAGCGUGAGGUCGGUGGUUCGAGUCCACUUAAGCCCAUUGGUUUAUGAAACCAGAUGAUUAAUAUAAUAAAAGAAUUAUAAUAAAAGAAUAUAGGGAUUGCCUUCAUAGGGUAGACCAGCAUCCAAGCAUUUUGGGGGUGUAGCUCAGUUGGGAGAGCACCUGCCUUGCAAGCAGGGGGUCAAGAGUUCGAAUCUCUCCAUCUCCAUUUGGUGUAAUUACGAAGGUGCACUUCGAAAAGCUGACGCUUUUCUCAGUCACGGCGUUCCACGCCUAUACAAUGAAAUACAAAACUGCUUAGGAAAGCAAGCUUUCCACACAGUUUUCCAUUCCAUUGUGCACACGUUAAAUUGCAUCACGCAUGUACCUUGAAAACCACAUAUUGAAAUAUAUCUAGAUAGAGUUUUUAUAUGUCAAAGUAUAAAGACGAUAUCAAGACAUCCGAGGUGUUACAUCUAACGAUGUAACCAAACAAAACUCGUUAAAGUAACCGUAACGUACGGUGAAAUAACAAACCUAAGACCAGAGAUACAACGCUAUGUAUCUUAGAUCAGUAGCCCGCACCCGCAGGUGAACAUCGAAUUGGUUAAGCUAUAAAGAGCG
rnacentral:misc_RNA from 1 species